UACGAAGGGGGCUAGCGUUGUUCGGAUUUACUGGGCGUAAAGCGCACGUAGGCGGAUUGGUCAGUUAGGGGUGAAAUCCCAGAGCUCAACUCUGGAACUGCCUCUAAUACUGCCAGUCUAGAGUCCGGAAGAGGUAAGUGGAACUCCUAGUGUAGAGGUGGAAUUCGUAGAUAUUAGGAAGAACACCAGUGGCGAAGGCGGCUUACUGGUCCGGUACUGACGCUGAGGUGCGAAAGCGUGGGGAGCAAAC
rnacentral:rRNA from 1 species